AUACAUUAGUUAUUGCAAUGUAAUUACAAGUUGCUUGCAGGAGCCAUUAUAAAAUAGAGGGAUUUCAAUUAAGUAGUAACUAAUACAGUCAAAUUUAUACAGUGAUUUUUCAAAGAAAAACUUAAAAGAAAUUCAAUUAUAUCAGUUACAUAUUUGUCCAAUUUUGCAGUAACCCAAAAAAGUAACACAGUUGAUCCUGUCAUUUGAUGUUGCUUCUGUCUUUGAGCAGAAAAGCAUUUUUGUCUUGUUGCUGCAGAAACUACAUAAUGCAGUUAACACAUAGUUAACACAUUUUAAUUACUUAAGAUUUGAACCAAGAAGUCAAAUUGCAAAAGAGUAUAGCAGAGUGUCACAAUUUUAGAAUUCAAUAGAAAUUUGCUCAUAUAGCAUAAGAUGAAUCAUGUUAUAUUAUUAUAUCAGACAAAAAUCCUAUGACUUUUCACUGUAAAACAUAAGCAUCCACAGAGCAAAUUUUCAACAAAAAAAACCACAUCGAAACUCAAUAGCAAAACUCAAAAUUCCAAAGAAAAAGUCAUAAAACUUCACAACCAGAAUCAUCAAAAUCAUAAAUAUCAGCCACCACAUGAAGAACACAUAUACUUUCUGAAAAAAGCUUUCACGUUAAGACAAACAAAACCUUAACCACAUAGUUCAAAUACACUUCACAAAAAAUAGAGUAACAACAAUCCAAUUGUUCCAAACCUAAGAAAUUCCAUAGAAGAAGAGACCACGAGCAUAAGGAGUAGAAGGGAGAGGAUUCAUGCUUACCUGAAGUGGAAACCACCGUCGUAAUUAGAACUCGCCAGACCAGCUCCAGUUACGUGAGUCUUUCGCUUUUUUUUUUAGUUUCUUGAUACCACUUUGUUCCUUGCGUUGUGCUGAUCAAAAUCCCCCAUAAAAAUUGAUUGAAACUGUGUUUCAUGGUUGUUUAAUUUCACUUUGAUUGUUUAGGUUUUAUAUGUAGAAUUUGAAAUUAAAUGAUUUUGGUAAGAAAUUGGUAAAUUUUGAGAUCGGAUUCGUAAUGAGGGAGAAGAGACGGUUAAAUUGGUAUACUAAUUUCUCAUUUCCGGCCACCGUCGCCGGAACCCAUGACGAAGGCGGAGUUAUUUCGGCCAUGUGAGAGAAAGAAACGAAGCUGGUGAAAGAAAGAGAAAUAGACGUUCUGAUUGUUUUAUUUUCUUCUUUUCUUUCUUUUAUUUCAUUUAAGUAGUUUCUUUUAUUUUGUUUUUUUAAAUCCAUUGCCACUUGUCACCAUAUGAUAGGAUGACUUGUUUUUCUUAUUUUUCAAAGUAAAUGAGAUUUUGUUGUUUACU
rnacentral:lncRNA from 1 species